GCGCAGGGUGGGCAGGAAGGGAUGGCGAGCAGCACACGGCUGCUCCUCUGGGGAAGGUGUAAAAUACAAGUAUAAAAAAAUCCUAGGUAUCAAAAUCUAGAAAGGGGGUGCUGAGAAGAUGAAUCAGGCUGUUCUCGGUAGUGCCCAGCAACAGGACAAGAGGAACGGGCAGUUCCAGCUGAACGUGGGGGGAAACUUCCCUGUGCAGCGAUAAAGCACUGAACGGAUUGUCCAGAGAGGGUGAGGAGUGUCCCUCACUGGACAUUGUCCAGAACCCACUGGACACAAUCCUGUGCUCUGAGAUGGCUCGGCUGGAGUAGGGAGCCGGGAGCUGGUGACCCUCUGAGAUCCCUUCCUGCCCCACGCUGGGAUUCUGUCAAGGUCUGACCGCUGCCUUUGCCCCGUGUAACCCACGGCUCCUCCAGAACCUCCAUGGGCCCAGUGCCAUCCCCUCAGCCUGUGAUCGCCUCCAGGAAAACGUGCAGGUCAGGAAAGCAUUCACCUUUAUCCACUUUCUCCUUCCUUGCUCCUUCACAAAAACUACAGAGGACACUGUGGUGAGGACCACAACCCAUUCCCCCUAGGACUGCAGAGCUCAGGGGUACAUCUGUGCCACCAUCCCUAUCCCUCAGUCACUACUGCCACUACAAAUCCCCGAGGCCACGCUGAGGAUCUGUCUCAGCAUGUCCACAAGGAAGGGAGAGACCCUGGGCAUGCCUUAGUGCUCUGGUGGAAACACGUUCCAGCCUGCAGAUGGGACACAGCCCUGGGGACUGCACCUCGCACCCACCUGUCCCUGAUAAUGUAAUCACAGGAACAAUUCCCCCUCCCAGGCUGAGGGGCUAGUUCACAUUGAACUGAAUCAAUGAUCAGAUCACCGAAAACAAACCCAAUUAAAAGCUCUCCCAGAGCUCUGCUGUUUGGAAGCAAACCCAAAUGACAGGAUCAUUUCCCAGUGACCCAGUUCCAGCCAGCCUCCAGCCCAGGGCAGAGCACAGAGACCGUGGAACUUGACUUGACUCCAGCACUGCCAUCCCUGCACAGCCUCAGCCAGCACCUGGAGCAGGAACAAGAGCUAGGAGAGCAGGAACAAGAGCUAGGAGGGCAGGAAGCCUCAGCCAAGCCUUUUCCUAGUGCCAGUAAAGCUGUGACCUUACCUGCAUUUACUUCAGGUUUGUGGUGAAUGAAACCUGAAAACUGAAUCAAGAUGUGAUUCCUCUGCACGUGGGACCGCCUGCACCUGCACAGGGGUCUCUGCUCUCCACUGCACUGAACAGCAUUGCCAUGUCUUUUGCUGCUUCUGAGGCAGCAAAUCUGCAUUUGAUUGGAAGGAAUAAAAUAAACUCAUAAGUCUCAUUUUCUAAUUUCUUUUGCCAGACAA